rnacentral:rRNA from 1 species
UGGCGACCGGCGCACGGGUGAGUAACACGUAUCCAACCUGCCGAUGACUCGGGGAUAGCCUUUCGAAAGAAAGAUUAAUACCCGAUGGCAUAGUUCUUCCGCAUGGUAGAACUAUUAAAGAAUUUCGGUCAUCGAUGGGGAUGCGUUCCAUUAGCUUGUUGGCAGGGUAACGGCCCACCAAGGCAUCGAUGGAUAGGGGUUCUGAGAGGAAGGUCCCCCACAUUGGAACUGAGACACGGUCCAAACUCCUACGGAAGGCAGCAG